rnacentral:rRNA from 1 species
AAAUUGAAGAGUUUGAUCAUGGCUCAGAUUGAACGCUGGCGGCAGGCCUAACACAUGCAAGUCGAACGGUAACAGGAAGCGCUUGCUGCUUCGCUGACGAGUGGCGGACGGGUGAGUAAUGUCUGGGAAACUGCCUGAUGGAGGGGGAUAGCUACUGGAAACGGUAGCUAAUACCGCAUAACGUCGCAAGACCAAAGAGGGGGACCUUCGGGCCUCUUGCCAUCGGAUGUGCCCAGAUGGGAUUAGCUUGUUGGUGGGGUAACGGCUCACC